ACGAACGCUGGCGGCAGGCUUAACACAUGCAAGUCGAGCGCCUCGCAAGAGGAGCGGCAGACGGGUGAGUAACGCGUGGGAAACUACCCUUUGGUACGGAACAACUCCGGGAAACUGGAGCUGAUACCGUAUGUGCCCUUCGGGGGAAAGAUUUAUCGCCAUAGGAUGUGCCCGCGUAGGAUUAGCUAGUUGGUGGGGUAAUGGCCCACCAAGGCGACGAUCCUUAGCUGGUCUGAGAGGAUGAUCAGCCACACUGGGACUGAGACACGGCCCAGACUCCUACGGGAGGCAGCAGUGGGGAAUAUUGGACAAUGGGCGCAAGCCUGAUCCAGCCAUGCCGCGUGAGUGAUGAAGGCCUUAGGGUUGUAAAGCUCUUUCGCACGCGACGAUAAUGACGGUAGCGUGAGAAGAAGCCCCGGCUAACUUCGU
rnacentral:rRNA from 1 species